rnacentral:misc_RNA from 1 species
GGACAUAGUUUUUUGCCAGCCGAUCGUGUUUUUGGGCGAAUAGAAAAAGAUUUCAGAAAAGUGACAAUGAUAACCACUAAAGAACAUUAUCAAAAAAUAAUAUCUCAGCAUGGCAAAGUUCAUUUUUUAGAUAAUGAAAAUCGUUGUGAUUGUUUGGAACCUGAUUGUGAAGAAUUACAUGUAUAAGAAAUAAAAAUGUUUUGUGUGAAUCUAUUUUUAUUUUUAUUUUCAUACAGAAUGGUUCAUAAGGUAACAUUUUUUAGACAGCGAGUUUCAGAAGGUGACAUUUUACAAAAUUAUUGAAUCAAAUAGGGACAUUUACAAGCUAUUGGAUCAAAGGGUGUCAUUUGAUGUGUAUUUUAUUUAUUAUUUUUCUUCCAAAUUUCAAAACCAGCAAGAUAACCUUAUAAUACAUCAAAUUUAAUACAAGAAUUGACACAUAAAUGGUUAAUAAAAAAUAAUAAAAAUUGCUUAGAUCAACUUGAAUAUUUAUUUUCUCAAUUUACUCAAAAAGUUAAAAACUGUAAAUGACACUUUUUGUUCCUAACCUCCUCAUUUGUUCUU